GUUGUCGUGGCCGAGUGGUUAAGAGCGUGGACUAGAAAUCCAUUGGGUCUACCCUGCGCAGGUUCGAAUCCUGGCCGACAACG